rnacentral:rRNA from 1 species
UACGAGGGGGGCAAAUGUUGUUCGGAAUCACUGGGCGUAAAGGGAGCGUAGGCGGGUUUCUAAGUCAGGUGUUUAAUCCCGGGGCCCAACCCCGGACAGGCAUUUGAAACUGGGAAUCUUGAAUAGUGGAGAGGUCAGUGGAAUUGGGGGUGUAGCGGUGGAAUGCGUAGAGAUCCCCAAGAACACCAGUUGCGAAGGCGGCUGACUGGACACAUAUUGACGCUGAGGCUCGAAAGCAUGGGGAGCAAACAGG